CAGUUGCCAGCUGUCAAAGCGUCGGUUUUCGCUCACGUGGGUCGGCAUUGCACAACACACAGCAGCACCAU
rnacentral:snoRNA from 1 species